rnacentral:rRNA from 1 species
AUUGAACGCUGGCGGAAUGCUUUACACAUGCAAGUCGAACGGUAGAGGGGGCAACCCCUCGAGAGUGGCGAACGGGUGAGUAAUAUAUCGGAACGUGCCCAGUCGUGGGGGAUAACGUAGCGAAAGUUACGCUAAUACCGCAUACGAUCUAAGGAUGAAAGCGGGGGAUCGCAAGACCUCGCGCGAUUGGAGCGGCCGAUAUCAGAUUAGGUAGUUGGUGGGGUAAAGGCUCACCAAGCCAACGAUCUGUAGCUGGUCUGAGAGGACGACCAGCCACACUGGAACUGAGACACGGUCCAGACUCCUACGGGAGGCAGCAGUGGGGACUUUUGGACAAUGGACGCAAGUCUGAUCCAGCCAUUCCGCGUGCAGGAUGAAGGCCCUCGGGCUGUAAACUGCUUUUGUACGGAACGAAAAGGUCUCUCUUAAUACGGGGGACUCAUGACGGUACCGUAAGAAUAAGCACCGGCUAACUACGUGCCAGCCGCCGCAGUAA